rnacentral:misc_RNA from 1 species
UGGUUCUGGCAUNGAUGAAGAACGCAGCGAAAUGCGAUAAGUAAUGUGAAUUGCAGAAUUCAGCGAAUCAUCGAAUCUUUGAACGCACAUUGCGCCCCUUGGUAUUCCGGGGGGCAUGCCUGUUCGAGCGUCAUUACAACCCUCAAGCUCUGCUUGGUGUUGGGCGGCACCGAUCUUCGGUGUGCCCUAAAACAAGUGGCGGUGCUGCCUGGGCCCUGAGCGUAGUAGACCCUUUUCGCUAUGGACGGCCCGGCGGCUGCGCGCCAGCAACCCCAACCCAUUGACGGUUGACCUCGGAUCAGGUAGGGAUACCCGCUGA